rnacentral:lncRNA from 1 species
CACCAUUUAAGGAGUGCAUUUCAUCUCCCACUAUGAUUCUAAGGCCUCCCCAGCCAUGUGGAACUGAAAGGAGCCCCAGGCCUCUCAAAAAGUAUGAAAGAACUGGAAUUCACCAGAUCAUCACAUCCAGACAAUGAGACACCAGGCCCCUCAUUCAUCAUGAUGGCUUCUUUACCCCUAUGGAGUUCCUGUUUUCCCUUAGAUAGUUACAUUUCUUCCCUGCUAUAUAAACCCCUAAUUUUAGUCAAUCCCGAAGACGGAUUUGAGCUUCAGCUCCCAUCUCCUUGGCUGCAGACCUGAUUAAAGCCUUCUUCCGUGGCAGUACUUGUC